GACGAACGCUGGCGGCGUGCUUAACACAUGCAAGUCGAACGGAAAGGCCCUGCUUUUGUGGGGUUCUCGAGUGGCGAACGGGUGAGUAACACGUGAGUAACCUGCCCUUGACUUUGGGAUAACUUCAGGAAACUGGGGCUAAUACCGGAUAGGAUCUCCUGCUGCAUGGUGGGGGUUGGAAAGUUUCGGCGGUUGGGAUGGACUCGAGGCUUAUCAGCUUGUUUGUGGUGUAGUGGCUUACCAAGGCUUUGACGGGUAGCCGUCCUGAGAGGGUGACCGGCGACAUUGGGACUGAGAUACGGCGCAGAAUCCUACGGGAGGCAGCAGGGGGGAAUAUUGCACAGUGGGGGGAAGCCUGACACAGAAGCGCCGCGUGCGGAAUGACGGCCUUCGGGUUGUAAACAGAUUUGGAAGGUGACGAAGAGGGAGUGACGGUAAUGGGUAAAGAAGCACCGGCUAACUACGUG
rnacentral:rRNA from 1 species